ACCCAGGAUAGCUCAGUUGGCAGAGCAUGAGGCUGUUAAUCUCAGGGUUGGGGGUUCGAGUCCCACCUUGGGCA